CAUACAUGCACAGUCGCAUGUGUUUGCACUUAUUCGAAAGUGUGUUUACGUGUUUCUAAAUGGGAUUAAGACUUUUGAAAAAAACAUUGUGAGUCCUGCCACUAAACCAUUUCUUUGUGUUUUGUUCAAUACAGCGAACGAGAUGCAUCCAGACCUGCUGCUCAUCGAGUGUUAAAGGCUUUACAGAGAGCAUCGCUGCCCUCGGAUUCAUCCGUAAUGAGGUUUCCAGUCUCUUCGGAGGAUGGAUGCCACCCUCUCCAGCACCUCAAAUCUCACACAAGGUUUCCAGGCUGUUUCCCCCCAGUACCUGAACACACCGGGGUCCUGUUGUGCACUGAGGAGCCACUCACUGGUUUGCCGUCGCUGGUGACACACCAGCAGUAACCGGUCAGAGUGUGACACUGGACCUGGAGAGGCAAGACAGAUGGAAGAAGACCAAAGAACUACAGACUCUUCACAACCUGCUCAAACUCUUGGUACAGGACCUCACCACACGGGUCAAGAAGGUUUCCAUCUCAUUUCUACUCUGAAGCUCACCUUCUCCUGCUCAAACUGCUGACAAAUGUUUCUGCUGCUCUAAAGUCUGGUCUCUAGAACUUCCUAAAAACUCUCAAAGUCUCUUUUGCUGCAUUUUGCUUUGUAGAACUGUUCCAGAAAACCUCACUAAACCACAUGGAGGGGCCUCAAGAUAGUCGUCCAAAUGAAACCAUACAAAAACCAAACUAGCACAACCCAAACGCUAAAGUCUCCUGCAGCCUACCAGAGAACCUCUGAGAACAGAGAAUCAGGACAGGAACUCUUACCUUCUGGACAACCAACACUGGUUCACAAACAGGAAUACAGAAUGUGUCUGACCAAAAACCUCUGAAGACUCACUACAGCCAAGAUAAAGACACAACUCAGCUGGACCAAAUCCACUAAUCACUGCACACAUCAGCACCAUGUGCUAACUGUGGCUGAAGAACCUCAUUUACCAAGACAACUAUCCAGUACAAAGCCCUAAAACACACCAAGAAACACAUUAAAGACCAUUUUACUGCUGGAAGCUGCAAGCCAACGCCUAAAGAAGAAACUAAAGCAAUGGAGCCAAACCCAGUUCACUGGUGAAGAGAAGCAGAGGAAAUGUUUGUCUGCAGCUAAAUAAAGCAGGAAGACACUGAGCUGCUCAGGUGUUCCUGAUAACACCAAGCUGCUCAGGUGUUCCUAAUAACACCAAGCAGCCACCUGGACAGCCAAUAGGAACACAGCUUACUGGAAGUCCAGAGGGCUGGGUUAGUGAAGGAAAUUUAGUUUAAAGUUGAAGCAGAAAGUUAACAAAGAAAGUUGAAAACCACCUUCUGAUACCUGAAAUCUCUGAGUUUUCACACAAAGAACACCUGAACAUGUCAAACUGGUUCCAUAGUAGAACCAUCAUUGUAAAAACGUCAUAGUAUGGUGUGUUGCUCAAAAAACAUUAGGACCCGGCUGUCAGGGGACAAACAUGUAAGAAACAUGAGAACAGAGAGAACCCAACCAGUAGGUCACAGUUUAUCAUCCCCCAGUCAUCUCCUGAAGUCCAUAUGGUGAGAGACAUCAGUAUCUGGUUGUUCAUUUACCAGAGGAUGCUUAUAAUCAUGCUGAUGUGGUCUGUACUCUACACUAUUUUAGUGACUCAAUAAAUGCUUAAGUUGUUUUUUUUAAAUGCUUUUUAGUUUUCAAUAAACAUUUAACAGCCCAUAUGUAAUCAAUAAAUGGCCUUUGUCUAUCUUAAGAAAAAUUCACUCAGAACUCUGAUAUGUUAACAGUACUAAAUAAAUCAAUAAAUACAUGCAUACACACAAAAGUAAAUUAAUACAUUAACUGUGUUAAGAUUUAGAUUUUUUAAAAAAGUUGUUUCUGUUUUUGCAGAAUCCAGUAUUGCUCACUGGUUGGUCAUUACAUUUUGUUAGUUUGAUUUCACUGUUUAAAAUGAUGCCACCUCUUUUCAGACAGAACCUGUGAUAAUAAAACAAUACAAAAUUUUUAGUUCUGUGUUAAUAAAGCACUUAAAGCUUUAAGUAUGGCUAAAUGCUUUUUUCAAAAUUAAAUAUAUCACUCCUUAGGUGGUAGUGGCCCCAAGGUCAGUAAAAUUGGAAAGAUAUUCACAGAUUCGGGCUUCCAGCAUCAAUAACUCAUUAGAUAUAGGUUGUCAAAACAUAAACGGUGCCUCUUUCCCAUUGUUGCAAGGCAGACAAUGUGCUACAAGCCCAGUUUUAUCAAAAGUAGCUGUCUUUCAAGCUACAGGAAUAACAUUGGUGUCUAUGGAGUGAACAGGGUCCAUCUGCAAUUUGCAAAACCGCUGCAACAGUAAAGAGAGACAAAUAUUCAAUAACUUCACUCUUAUACAUUGUAGUGUCACUAAAAUCACUGCAGCCUUCAACUGGCUCCUGUUGACAAAGUGUUUUAACAGAAAUGUAAAUGCUGUAAUUUGAUUCUUUUAAUGAACCAUGUAACUUGAAUGGAUGUGAUGCUGGUGUGACCACAGUGCACACGUCUGAUGUUGCUCACAGUGGUCCAAGGAACGCUCAGGGAGUUUGUGUGUUUGCUCACAAUCAGGAAAAAUUACAGGGAACAUUGAUCAUCAGCAUACAGUACUGUACACACAGUUAGUUCAGGGAUAAUCCAGUGCAAACUUUCUCACAAUCCACAUUAACAACAUGUUUUUUAUUUUUCUGUUUCUUUGACAACUGUAAUUUCUCUAAAAUAAUCUAAUUCAGUCUCCUCACUUGUUUCAAAAGCCUACUGGAGAUUUAUUUCUUACCCUUUCGUUAUGUACUUCAGUUCAAACUAAAAUUAUCUGGCAUUUUAUGAGAAAAUCUCCAAAUAUUACAGGAAAUGCAGACAAAAUAAAUUCAGCUUGCUUUAUUAUUGUGGUAAUCACAAUCACUUAACACUUUUUUGGAGGGAAAGCACCUGUAAAAAGAACACGCAAGUUUCUCACAAUCCAUAUGAACAAUCUUUUUUAUUUUACUAUUUGCAGCUCUGAUGUUAGAGUUUAAACUGAAGGAUAAAAUGUGCUCCAGUCAUUGUUGGCUUCACAAUAAUACGUAAAAAUAUGACUGUAAAAAGUCCUGCAUUGAAAAUAACCAAAAAGUACAUCAAAAGUACCAUAAGUAAAAGUAAUAUUGUGCUAUAUGUUGUGUUAUUACUAUUACUGAUAUAUUAGAUUUAGAGUUGUUGUUGUUUGAGUUGAAGUUAAUUUUACAAAUUUUCUGAACUUUCCCAUUGUUUGAAUUCCCUCCUCUUCCAUCUUUUAUAUAUAAUCUCCGUUAAAACUCAAACUUUGCUGGAACUGACAGCAUCCUUAUGUUUUAAGUCUCCACUCAAGUCAGAACCCCACAUUUUUCAAAUUCUUAGCAUCCACUUUGGAAUGCAGAGUCUCAGACAUUACAGUUCGUUUCUGGUUCUUCCACGUGUUGGGAAGAGUAAGAUGAGGUGAGGUGUAUUUAUUUGGUUGCAGUGUGCAUUCUUGCCUGUAGAGGCCACUAAAUCCUCCACACUGGACCUUUAAAAUAUUGUCAUACCUCAAAUUAGUGCUUUAGUAGAUGUACUUGUUCAUAUUACACCAUUUUUCAAAUUUUGCAGCUCCUCAAAAAUAAGCAAACUCAAUCUUUAACACUUGGUCAUUUCAUGCAAAAGUCUACUGGUUGCGAUCAGUUUGAGCAAAGAGUUAUUUAGGCCUCUUAAUCGAUUGUUUGCUGCUCGAUCUCCUGGUUUUCAACAUAUUCUCCAUAACAGAAGAGUUAUACAGUUUGUACACCCAGGACAUCGUAAGGAAUAGCUUUGGAAUUUGUGUUCCAUUUUAGGGCGACCCAAAUCUUUAUUCAUGUUCCAACCACAAGAACCUCUUUCAGGGUUGUUUUAUGGUCAAAAAACUUACUUUCUCCACUGUAAAUACUUCUGAGCAACAUUUAAAAACACAAUACUGAUUGGUUAAACUCUGCAAAGACAACAAACUCAAUUUUUCCCCCUUGAUUUCUUCAUUCAGUAGCAGUUUUCUAACACUUCAAUCCUCUAAGUAAAAUUCACCAUAUAGGCUAAUAAUAACUUCAAUAUUUUAAUUCCUCUUCCUUCCUUGUAGUUGUUAUGUGCAGUGGCAACUAUUUUUCAUUGGUUUUGUGAACUCAAAAUUGGCAAAGCUGUCAGAUCCUACAGUGCAGUGGAAACAGGAAACCUGAACAGACCAAUUAUAUCUCUGAUUAAUGGCAAACGUACCUAAUAGAGGAAGUUGAGGCUACCCCAAAACAAGAUUUUUGCCAGCGCCAAAAGAAAAUUACCUGCAGCAACAUGACAAGAAUUAGGAAUAUUUUAAAACUCCAGCAUAAUAGCCAAUUUUUGUUUAUCAAAUGGCCACAAAUAACACCUUAAAUUUAUUACAUUUUGAUCAAAUAGCAUAAUGGAGACUCAUUGUUUUUACUGUACACAAAUCGAUCUUAAUGUUGGUGUGCAGCAACGCGCUAAAAGCCCAGGAAAAACCCUGAGCUAACUAUGCUAAUUUCUCGUUUUCAAAACAGGUUUGCAUUGUAAAUGAGAAAUUAUUUCACCCACAGCUCUAGUAACUGUAAAUGUGUGAGUUUAAUAACAGUUUUGCUUGUAAAAUAUUAGUUACUGCACUAUUAGUAAGUAGAAUUAAUGCCAUAAUCGAUGGGUUUUCCACUGCAGGAACUCAAGAGGUGGAAACAUUUACAGGACUGGCCCUAUUAUCAACACAGUUUAGUUUUUUUUUUUUUUGCUUCCAUUGUGAUCUUGGAUGCAGCAGCAUAUCCCUGAGUGUACCAAAAAGAACAACUAAUAGCAGUUAGUGGACAUAACUCCAGUUCUAUGAGCACAAAGGAAAUAGAACAACUGAGCACAAUCUAUUUUAUAUUCCCCAUUAUGGUUAAAUUAAUGUUGUAGCUGGUGAUAUUAAGAGGAGAAAACUGCGACUCAACAAAGAAAUGUGUCUAUGAAUUAUGCUUGACAUGUUUUCCAUGAAAACUCACACUUUUAUUCAUGUGCUAACAAAACUGCACAAGAGUUUUCUAAUCAUCAAUUAGCCUUUCAACAACAUUAGCUAAUACAAUGUAGCAUUAGAACACAGGAGUGAUGGUUGCUGGAAAUGUUCCUCUGUACCCCUAUGUAGAUAUUCCAUUAAAAAUCAGCCGUCCAGAAUCCAAAAAUUGCUGCCUGUUGUCUUCGCUGAGUUUAACCAAUCAGUGUCUAGUUCUGUUCAGCAGUUUUUUAGCUGCACUCUGAACUGAAUGAUGUUCUUCAGGGGCAUUUUUGUUUUGUGUUCGACAAAAAGAACGCUCUCUGGCUCUGAGCCUGGGACAUUUUCCGUGAGUUCAGGGCAUCUCGACAUUUUGUAGUGAAUCCAAAAUUAGUAAGAUUAAUGAGAGGUAACAGAGAGAUAGCAGUCCACACCACGUAGACACUGAGAAUAAAAUGAGUCCUGGGGUGAGCAUUUCUGCGGUGUUGAGAUGGGAUUUAUUAAAAUGUAGAGACAUCAAAAGCUCUUGUGUUUCCUUGUGUUAUUCUGCAGAAAACUCAACUUUUGUUUCAUUUUUACAUAAAUUAAAUUAUUAUUUGAUUUAUUCAUUUCAUUUAUUAUGUGUGAUUUGCAUUGUGAAUUGUGAAAUUUUAAAGCAAUCAGGCCUAUUUCUGAAGGAUGAAUUGCAUAUUUGCAGUUUAAUAUAAAAAGUAUGUUUAUAAAAUUGCAGGAUGUUCUUUGCUAAUGUAACUUUGGAGUUGUAACGAUAAAUUAAAACGCUGCUUGUGAAUCUAUAACUGCACAAACUUCAAAAGCCCCCCAAAAAAGAGCCUACAAUAAAUCAAUUCAAAUAGAAGAAAGAUUUAAAAGUACAGUCCUUCCAUUGAGAAGUUGAGCUUACCUGGUGUACGCUGUGAAACUUGAAUUGUUGAAUGCGGUAAAAUACAGAAUCAUUGCUAGUUUUAGUUUAGGCUUGUUACUGCAGUUGUACUUUGGUUUUGGAGAUGAGUGAUAAGAGUCAGGGUUUUUUUGUAUUGGUUACCUUUUACUUUUUUUCCUGUUUGGCAACACUAACAUCAGCUUCAGAGUCCAGUUUGCUUUUGAUUACAUUUCUUUUAUUUCGGUAGCACCCAUUUGCCUUUAACCCCUUACAUUUUAUGUAUUUUUUUUAUUACUAUGAGCUUGACCUUUCAAAUAAAUCCCUGCAUAUCCCUCUGUAAAUCAGCAUUUGUUCUGCAUUUUUGUUACUCCUCGACUACCCUUGACAGCCGGGUUGUAACAGGUGUAAAAAAAAAAAAAAAAAAACUCUUAAAAUCUUAAAUUUAUGAAGGAAAAAUAGAUAAAACUGUCCAGACACACAUCUUUAAAUUACAAAACUUUAAAAAAAAAAAAAAAUAGGUUUAACUGAAUAAGAAACGUUACAAAACAAAUACACACACACAAAAAAAUAACACUGGACUGCCAGAACCAACAUAACUAGCUGUUAAUACUCUAAAGCAGGGCUAAAGUGCUGCUUAAAGGGAAUCCAGAGGGAACUUUUGAUUGUUGGAUUUCUGUGUAUUAAAAUCUGUAACCUUACAAAGUGAAGUGCUAUAAGAAUACAGAUUAACUGCAUUCUUACAGGCUUUAAUCUGAUUUUAAUUCUUCAUACUCCUUCACGCACCUCUAGACUGGUUCCUACUACAAACUCGGUAGAUUGAGGCGGCGCUUUAGGCCCUCGCUGCUGGUCGGGCGCUUCAGUGGUCUCCAUGACUGUGCCGAGCUGCUCACCUCUCAAUGAACCCCCCAGUCCAGCUCUGGUGGUGGGGAGCAUGCCCCACCAACAACAAAAACAAAAACACAGAGGUUCUGGAGCUUACCCCUGUACCAGUGAACUGUGCAGCCACCACACCAGGCCCCGCUCCCCUCUGGAUCCCCUCCCAGACCCCAUGGUCCCGGUUAACAAGCCAGCCAGCACGUUCCCCUGUUGUCAUUUGUUAGCCGCUGCUGUCCUCUUGAUACGGCUCGCGGGCGGGGCCAAUUAAACUCGCACGGUUCCCCACACCGGGUCAGGAGUUUAGUGGGUCAUCGUCGCUGCGAUUUUCACCCAGAGUUAUCUAAUCCUGAUUGAACCGCUCUGACUGGACCAAACCAGACUGGACUGUCUUCAGAAGUACACCACAGUCAGUCAGACAUACACAGCAGAGACAAAUGAGAUAAGAUAGGAUAAGAUGAGAUACGAUACAAUCAGGGGUGGACUGGCCAUCUGGCGUACCGGGCGAUGCCCGGUGGGCCGACGCACAUUUUUGGGCCGGCCCAGGGGGUGUCAUAAUUUAACCAAGAAAGUGUAUUAUAAAUCCUUUUUGUCGAUCGCGACGGCCCAUUGGUUGAUUUUCUUGAAGGACAUUGGGCUAAUCCAAUGAAAUCUCUCAGCCCUCCCCGGCCCGCCCCUCCCCGGCCCGCCCCUCCCCGGCCUCUUGAAACAAAGUUAUCAAAUUUUGCCGUUUGAGUUGGCCGGAAGUGGAGAGGAGCAAAGAUGGAGAAACGGCCCAAACGAAAGGGGGGCGCUGAAAAAUUGCGCGAAAAAAGGCUUAAAAGCCUGCAAGUCGAUGCAGCAAAAUGCAGCAAAAUAAGUGACAUGUUUGCCGUUGCUUCCACUAGUUCACCUGCGGCAGCGACUGCUGCUGCCAUGAUAGAAAAAGAAGCCGAAGUUCAGGGGGAGUCUGAGGAAAAGGAGUAGGAGGAGAAGGAGGAGGAGGACGGAGGGAGAGACGUGACACAGCAGGGACAGAUCGAGGAGGGCAUAUUUGGAGUGAAGGUCUACCUUUCCCUGAUGUGGAGUUUACAUGUUUUCCUUUUCUAUCAUUAGCAGCAAGGUCCAUGCAGCCUUUUGUCUCAGCAUAUGUUCCAUUUUGGUGAAGAGCUCCACUUUUAAUUCAAGUUGGUAAUUUUGACACUUUGAAAUAAAAUUUUAAAGUCUCUGUGAGAAGUGAUAGAGUGUAUCUUUUUUUUUUAACAUGGUUACUCUCUUCCACGUAGGCUGCUGCGUUUUAUUUUAAUUUUUGAAACAAUACAAUGUGCACAUAUAUCCUCUGGUAUGUCGUAUGCCUUGGCAUAUUGUAUAAAUAAUCAUGGUGGGCCGCCAUGACCAAAAAUGCCAGGGCCAUAUUUUGAUCCCAGUCCAGCCCUGGAUACAAUAGCAUGAGAUAUGACAAGAUACGAUGAGAUAUGAUGAGAUACGAUAUCACAAGAUACAAUAAGACAUGAUGAGAUACGAUACGAUGAGAUACAACAAUGUAUAAGAUGAGAUAAAAUACAAUGAGAUAUGGUGAGAUACAAUAAAACGAGAUAUGACAAGAUACAACAAGGUACGAUAAGAUAUGAGAUACGAUGAGAUAUUAAAGGAUACAAUAAUAUGAGAUAAGAUACAAUGAGAUAUGAUAAGAUGAGAAUAGAUACAAUAAGAUAUGAUAAGAUGAGAUAUAACAAGAUACAAUGAGAUAUGAUGAGAUACAACAAGGUAUGAUAAGAUAUGAUAAGAUGAGAUAUCAAAAGACACAAUAAGAUGAGAUAAGAUACAAUGAGAUAUGAUAAGAUGAGAAAAGAUGCAAUAUGACAUGAUAUGAUAUGACAUGAUACGAUAAGAUAUGAUGAGAUACAAUGAGAUGACAUAAGAUGCAAUAAGAUAUGACAAGAUGAGAUUUGAUGAGAUACGAUGAGAUGACAUAAGAUACAAUAAGAUAUGACAAGAUAAUGAUGAGAUACGAUAAGACAUAAUGAGAUACAAUGAGAUAUGGUAAGAUGAGAUAUGACAAGAUACAAUAAUAUGAGAUAAGAUACGAUGAAAUAUGAUACAAUGCAAUGAGAUACAAUAAAAUACAAUGAGAUAAGAUACAAUGAGAUCUAAGAUACGAUAAGAUGACAUAAGAUACAAUAACAUAACAUACAGUUAGAUGAAAUAAAAUACAGUCAGAUGACAUGAUACGAUAAUGUGAGAUACGAUGAGAUACGAUAGGAUGAGAUAAGAUAUGAGAUGAAGUACGAUAAGAUACAAGAUAUGAAAAGAUGAAAUAAGAUAUGAUAGGAUAUGAUAAUAUGAGAUAAGUUCCAAUAACAUAAUAAGAUGAGAUAAGGUACGAUAAUAUUAGACAAGAUACGAUAAGAUGUGAUAUGAUAAAUUACGAUAUAAUGCGAUAGGAUGGGAUAAGAUACGAUAUAAUAUAAGAUAUAAGAUGAGAUAAGAUAUGAUAGAAUGAUGUAAUGUGAUAAAAUGAGAUAAGGUACAACAAGAUGAAAUAAGAUACGAUAAUAUGACAUAAAAUGAGAUACGAUACAAUAAGAUACGAUGAGAUAAGAUGGUUGAAGUGAGCUAUAUGUCAAGAAUAGAAAAGACAGAGGUUAUUGGUAAUAUCACACAUGAAAUGAAAUGUUACACACGAUAAUAAAAUUUUACACACUGAACUGAAAAUAUUACACUGUGGAAAUGAGAAUAUGAAAUACUGUGUUGAAAGUGAUUUCACAAAAUUUUGCGAAACAUUUAGCAGGGUGCUCAUUCAAACAUCAAGUCGACAUGUUGAGAUGCCGUCAUACUAAUUGAAAGGAUUGCGUGUCUGACAGCAGUUUUAGUAAUAACAGUAAUGCUCUACCUGUAGUAUGUGUACUGUGGUGAAAAUAGCUGCAGUAGUACUUGCACAAAGUUACUGUAGUGGUUGUACCAACAGUAACAGAGUGUCUUGAAUGAAGGAUGUCUCAUUUGAAAUGUUUGUGGUUCUGUUUGAAAGAGCGAUUUCAACCCCAACAAGAGAACUUGAUUUAGUAAGUUAUAAUAAAAUAUAUCGUGUACAUCACUGUUCCCUCUAAGCUGCGCGCGUGCGCAAUUGCGCACUGCUGACACGGUCUCCGCGCACAGAAAAUCUGCGCUGCGCACAAAAAAAAAAUAUCCAACCUAAAUUGUAAAUAUAAUAAACACGUAACAAUUCAUUCUGUGCUAUUUUUCAAUGUGAGUCAGUGAGUGACCGGUGACUGGCUGCUGCAGCCAAUGAUGCGAUUCACAUACGUAUUUACCAUAGACUGUAUAUAAUGGUAUUUACGCAGCUAAUCAACCUCAGGCGUCCUUAUGUGCAGCCACUGUUGUUCUCAUAGAUAUGAAUGAGUAGAUAGGACACGCCCCUUUGAGCUGCGUGCUACAGCGAGGCUAAGCUAGUGGGGGAAAAGUUUCAGUGCAUUCCGUUGAUGUAGACGGCGUGAAAACGAAAACAAGUAUGCCGGCUCACUGUGCUGCAUACAGUUAAACACUGCGUCGUACGAUUGAGACAAGGAAACUUGGAAUGACUUUUCAUAGGUAAGAAUAGUUUUUGGCUGUUUUUUCAUUAUGAAAUCUUGUUGAGAGCUUCCAGUCUAUGAGAGCUAACUCGUUAGCCACUAGCAAAACGCUAAGGCGAGCUAGCAGCUUGACAAGCAAAUACCAGACGAUUAAUAGUAGCUGUAGUAUAGUUGUACAAGCAGUAGUAGUAAUACUAAAAGUACAAGCAGCAAUAGUAGUAUAAACAGCUGUUAGAGUCGUAGAAGUAGUAUCAGCAUUUGUAAUAGUAUUACAAGUUGAAGUAGCAGUGCCAGUAUCAGCAGCAGUAGUUAAUAGUCACAUUGCUAUUACUACCACCAAUGCUACCAAUAGUAGUUAUAAAGCCUAAGUCAUGUAUUUCCAGAUUACCAUCUAUGUUCUUCCUCCAAACCCAUUUUAUGAUUGGGAUUACAGGCAGUUCUUUAGGACUGCUCUCAAAUAAUUGAAAUGUUACUAAACACGGUUAUACUUAUCAAAUUAAAUAGCUCUGGUCUGCAGUAUAUUGGCGAAUUCGGUUCUUUGUACUUCAUUUAUUAGCAUGAUUUCUUUUUAAUAUGUUGUGUACAGACUUAAUUACUUCUCUGUCUACUUUUCUUACUCCAUGUAGGUUUCCCAGAGACUAUGGGUUGAGGAGGAAUUGGAAGUUUGUCGGCUUAGACCUGGUGUCAUUCCAUCAGUGUUAAACUUCCCAGCUCAUCUUGGAAGAGCACGUGCCAGAAAGACCACGACCAAGCAGCCUUGAGAUCUUAGACAGCGUCUCCCUCAGGUGGGUGUCAACGGUGUUCACAGUCAGGUCUGUGGUAAUCAUGUCAAAAAAACAAAACAGAAAAAAAUCUAGAUUAUAAAUCAACAUGUAACCAAAGCACUCUGUGUAUAACGCCAUAGUAUAGGAUGUAGUUCAGAAAAUGUCAAAGUAUAGUAUGCUUUACUCAAGAAUAACAUAGUAUGGCCUGUAGUUCAUAGUACAGCAUGUUGGCAAGAAAAAAAAACAAAGCAUAGAUUAUUAUGUGGUUCAAAAAGCGUAAAAUGAUAGGAUGUUGCCUAAAAUUGUCAUGUAUGAUAUGUGGUUCAAAAAAUGUCAUAGUGCAGUAUAUUGUCAAAAUAGUAUGUAAUUCAAGAAAACAUCAGAGUAUAAUGUCAUCUAAAAAAUGCCAUAGAAUAAUAAUUUCAUUACACAAGUAAAAGUAUAGUAACUUUUAAAACUGUUCAAAUUCUUAUAUGUUGCUAAAAAAACUAAAAAAAACUAAAAAAAAAACUAAAACAAAAAAAGUCACUAAUAUGUCAAUUAAAAAAGCCUAUAGUAUAGCGUGUCGCCCAACAAACAUCAUAGUAUAGCAUGUCGCUCUAAAAAUGUCACAGUAUAGCCUUCAGUCCACAGCUGUCAGUAGGUGAGGAGCAACACAAAAACAGUCCAAACGCUGGUUUCCAGAGGGUUAAAUGAGUAUUUAUUUGAAAGAGGAAGUUUGCAACAACACAACAUGUGAGGGGGUUAAAAACAAAUGGGUGUUAGUAAAAUAAAAAUAAAUAAACAGAACUAAAAGUGAACUUCACCUUGACAUUGAUGGGCAUUCCAACCAGGAACAAAGUAAAAGAUAAUCAAUACGAAAAAAAACUCUUCCUGUUCACCUCUUAAAACCCCAAAACACACCGCAGUAGCACCCUAAACUAAAACUACCAAUGGGUUCCCUGUUUUCCUUUCUGAACAAUUCAAAGGUCCCUCUCUAUCUCCCCACACAUCCACCAACCACUGGAACACAUCUCCAAAGUUCUGCCGGGCCAGCUCAGCUUCCCCUCAGAAGUGCCGCCACCUGCCAGAUGAAGGAGCCUUUUGAGAGGCAGCUGGCAUCGUGAUUGGACUGUACUUUGGUCUGUUCCAAUCCAGCUUCAGCUCCAGAGACGGCAGGCGGGACGAGUCAACGGAGGCCGGGUGGACGAAGGCAUGAAGCUGAGUACAAUCCAGAAAACAACAGAGGAGGAGUGCAGGGCCAGAACAACCAGAGUAGCAUCGUAUGUCUCUUAGAAAACAUCAUAGUAUAGCCUUUGGUAUGAAAAAACGGCAUUAUAUACAUCGUAUAUUGUACAAAUAACAAGUCAAAGCAAAGAGACAUACAUUGUAGAAUUGUAGUAAUUGUGGGCUGACUGAUUUACUGAUUAUCAGUAUUUUAUUUUUUACUGAUUUACGGUAAUAAAUACAUUUAAAAAUGG